rnacentral:rRNA from 1 species
UACGGGGGGGGCAAGCGUUGUUCGGAAUUACUGGGCGUAAAGGGCUCGUAGGUGGCCAACUAAGUCGGACGUGAAAUCCCUCGGCUUAACCGGGGAACUGCGUCCGAUACUGGUUGGCUUGAGUUUGGGAGAGGGAUGCGGAAUUCCAGGUGUAGCGGUGAAAUGCGUAGAUAUCUGGAGGAACACCGGUGGCGAAGGCGGCAUCCUGGACCAAUACUGACGCUGAGGCGCGAAAGCUAGGGGAGCAAACAGG